AACAAUAAAAAUCGUUCGCAUCGUCCUUCACGGGUCUGCCGGUGUAAGCGUGUGAUAUUUACCUGCGUACAUUUAUUUUUAUUUCAUUGGAAACAGCACGGUGUCGACCGUGUUAGAGCCAUAACGUCGUGUGAAUAUCGUCGAGUCAAUUCAUUGCGUACUCCAGGCACAGACGUCGGCGGACGUUGGUGUGAUACAUUCGCGUACGACGUGACCCGUCGGCGAUUCGGGCGAAAACGAUCGGCUUGAAGUUAAGUGUGUACCGUUCGGGUGGGAGAGGGUGUGCCAUUCGUGAUAGAGGGAGAAAAAUGCAAUUCGCUGUCAAAACUUUGAAGGGUUCAAGCAGCAGGCGUCUAGUGAGAAAGGAGCGCGGUGCGUGUGACGAUGACGGGAGAACGCAGGACAGCGACCGCGGCAAUUGCCGGCCACGGACGUUGAAACUCACUCCAGAAAGAGUUAGACUCAAUGGAUAUGAUUCCAGUGAAACUUUCAGCGACAUAUUGGAGGACGUGCCUAUCAAUCAUCGUAUGCAUCAUGGGACUCAGCUAAGAUCCGUAUCACCAACGAUUCAUAUGACUAGACGGUCUUCGACAGCAUCACAGUCAGAUUCAGAUCAAUAUGGGAUGUUAGACGAUACAGAUUUGUCGGUGAAUUCGCUCACGAGUGUUAACUCCAUAUCGAGUUUGUUGCGAGAGAAACUUUUGUUGAAUAUUCAAAAAAUUUCGAAAAACAAAUCAGUACAAGCCGACUACAAGCUCAGAGUUUUUAUAACAUGUUUAUUCGUCGUGAUAGUGUGUAUUUUGAAGUUCGCACACGUCUACUACGACCGUCACGUGUUGCAGAAAGCAUAUUUCAAGUACACGCGGUUCAACAAGGAAGACCGUUUCUUGCGAUUAUAUGGUGUCGACGGGCACGAGAUAGCGUUCGGCUACCUCGGCGUGGACCUGGCGGAGAGGGAGAAGGCGUUCGAUUGCUUGGCGGCGGGACACCGUAAGCCGUCCGACGUGCAGUGCUUCGAAUGGAUGCAAAAAGCCAGACUGUAUCUGUCCCACGAGGAGAGACCCGAAGGCUUGAACUGCUACACGGUCGAAUGGUCUAGCCUGACGGACAAAUACAAUCCCGUGGACUGUUACGAAGACGGGGAACAAUACGGCCAUUGGUACGGAGGCGGCAGAACGUUGGGCAUGGCGUGGCCCGUCCAGUUGGGCACAGUGGAAAUGUCUCCGUUCGUCACUGGCCACGUUGGCAGACACCGGUGGGGCAGCGUGCUGGGCAGGUACUUCAUCAAUUCCAAAGGAGUGGCGAUCACCGUGCACCCGAACACGCCACUGCACGUGUCCAUAAACGCUGGCCGAGACAACCGACUGUGCUUAAAGGCCAGCCACGAUGAGUUCGCUUACCGCCGCACUACGGUCGGACUGCCCGUCCUCAACUACACCGUAUGCACGGCCCGGAACAUGAAGACGCUGCACGCGGCGCUCUCCGAGAAAAUGCUGUGGGACGGUCUGAAGGCCUCCGACACCGAAAUCAUAAACUCGCUGCUCACUGAGCCCGUCUGGCAGCUGGCCCCGUCCAGAAGGGAACUGCUCAACGAAUCUACAAUGGUCAACUACACCGAGGACAUCAUCGCUUUGGGUUUCAUAAAACAAGGUCACGUGUUGCUCAACGAAUUUUGGCAGGCAGAAAUGGGUGAUUUUUCGUUGGAUCAAAAAAGGUUUCCGACAAUGAAAGAGACGAUCAACAUCAUCCACCGAAGAGGAUUCCGCAUAGUGGUUACCAUACAGCCGUUCAUCAGCACCGAGUCGAGCAAUUUCGCCAACGCCGUAAGAGAAGGCAUCCUCGUCAGACAAUUCGGGAGCGAACACAACGUGCCGGCGCUGACCAGAUACAAGACCGUGCAAAGCGCCGGAAUGUUAGAUAUCACCAACAAAAACUGCGGCCCUUGGUUACAACGGCAGCUGAAAGAUCUAGUGCAAAAGUAUCAAUUUGACGCUUUCUAUUUAGACAUGGGCUCGGCUUACGAUCUGCCCCGUCACUAUAUGUUUGCCGAGAACUUAACCAACCCGGACUACUAUAAAUCGCUCUUCACCCAGACCGUGUCGGAUAGCGUGAACGUGUUCGGCGUUUCUUCGGCAAUCAGCCGGCCGCCGGCUCCGAUUUUCGUGUCGUUACUUUCGUUGGCCUCGACGUGGGAUUCACUUCAAGUGAUCAUACCGACCAUGCUUACGUACGGCAUAGUCGGUUAUCCGUUCUUGCUUCCGGGCCCUGUAGGCGGAGACUUUCAGGUCGGAAACGUUUCCUUGCACGCUUUGAUUCCACCGGACAACCCGUCGUCGGAACUCUUGGAAUCCCAGUCGCUGAAAGAGUGCCGGCAACGCGGUCAACAUUAUAACGAAAGUCGGGAACUGGUCAUGCGAUGGAUGCAACUGGCCACGUUCCUGCCGGUGAUCAGGUACGCAAGACUGCCGAGUGAUUGUGACCCGCAAGUGCUACAGUUGACGAAGAACCUGACGUCGCUCAGACAGCAAAUAAUAAACCCGUUGCUGAAGAGAUACGUGCAAGAAGCAUUGGAAACCGCCGUGCCGCUAAUACGGCCGCUGUGGAUGUUGGACCCUUCAGACACGACGUGUUACAUCGUGAAAGACGAAUUUUCAGUGGGCGAAGAAGUCAUCGUGGCUCCCAUACUGCGUCCUGGGGCUACGGAACGUGAGGUUUAUCUGCCCGCCGGGGUGUGGAAGGAUGGCAUCGAAGGCAGCCUGAGAAAAGGGUCCCGUUGGAUACACAACUACAAAAUCCCACUGGAUAAAAUCGCGUACUUCGUGAAAAUGCCGAACAACACUAGAUUUUAAUUACAGGCACACGUCGUUAUAAAUAUAUUGUGUAUAGUGCAUGUCGAUGUGUUCAAUUUGAAUACGCGCCAAGAACACUGUGUGCAGCGCAUAAUAUUGAUAUUAUAAUCGGUCGACUGACAUCACUUAUAUAUUCGCAGUACAGUGACUGCGUAAGAAUAAUUACGCUUUCGAGUAUUUAUCAUAAUGUUGUGUGAGAUUAAUUAAUUAUAUAAAAAUUAUGAAAUCUUAAACUUUAAUAAAGCCAAAAUGUCGACUGUCUAUGUAAACUACUUAAAAAAUAGACUUAAAGUAAAUUAACUACAUUGCGAUAAUUUACAACCGUUUUUUAACGAACGGCAGCGUUCUUGAUAAUUCCACGUAGUAUCGCGAUAUUUAUUAAUGACGUAUAUAUAUAUUGGUUGGGUGGUAGAAAACAAGAAAGGCGUGUAUCCUGUAAAAUAAAAAAAGGUUAUUUUAAUAAUUGAAAAAAAAUUAUUUAAUUAAUGAGAAAAAUAUUCCUGAAAAAAAACUAUUUUUCAACGUUAAAAUAAUUUAAACAGAAACACCGUUUUAACUGCGCAUGCGGAAUAGUUAAACAUCGAACACUGGUAAUUGUAUAGGAAUAAAUUGGUAUUACCGUAAAUAAUUAAAUAAAAUGGGUUAUAUAUUAUGUUAUUACGUCGUCUUAUAUCAUAUAGUGAAUAAAUUACGAAGUAUUGUGAAAGGAUUAAAACUAUAUACUUUUAUUAUUCAAUCAUAUAUUAGUACAUUUACGAGUUGUGCAAAUAAUACGUUUUUUUUUAUUUAUAAAUGUUCUCAAUAAUAAUUAAAAUCGUUUACUCGAGUGAUAAGAACUCAGAAACAAAUUUUGAGUUUUUGUGCCAACGUUAAACUGAAACGAGACGUUAUACAUUUAUUUAUUUUGGUCGUAAUUCAUUAAAAUAAAAAAAAAUGGAUAGGUAAAACUUUUAAAAUAAAAACGAAGUUUGACACUCUGUACAGGAAAAUUCGAAUUCUUUUUCAAUUUGUCAUUAAGAUAAAACGUUUUAAAUCAACUUUUUCAUAUUUAAUUAAAAACAAUCUACAUUAUGAUUAAUUAGUUACAAAUAUUAUCAAUUUGUUUGUGAAUUUUACUAUAUUCUUAUAUUUAUAAUAAAUUACUUUUUGUGGAGCAAAUAGUUUUUCCGAAAUAUUUGAAAUGUGUACACUAUAAGGAUGGUGCAUAAUUGUUGCGUCUGAGCACGUAUAAUAUUUGUGUAGAAAUAUUUGAUAGAAUUAAUUAAUAAAAUUAUUCUUUUGGCGUUGAUAAUUUUUUAGAGUAAUAAUUUAUUCCAAAUGGGACAGUUAACGAAAAUCUCAAAGUUUUUAUAAAGUUUAAUUAAUAUUGUAUUUUUGUCUCUUUCAGUUAUCAGCGUUCUUCCGUUUUAAAUAAAAACUUUUCUGACUAUUUGUUUAAUACACACCCUGUGCAUAAAUUAACAGUUUCGGAUCAUUUUAAAAUGAUAUAAUGCGGUCCGUAAAUAGAGAACGUAGGUAUACUAUAUUACUGUAUUUAUGGUAUCCGCAGAACGGCAUACAACUCAAUUAUUUUCACAUUUCGUGUUAUUAUAUAGCAAUAAUUCACUCGGCAAUAAAAAUUUGCUCGCGUUCAAGCAUAAAAAUCAUCCGACAAACAUGCGUGUACGUGCUACGAUUUCGUCAUUCCAGUCGUUCGCAUUCGUUCGGCCAACUUUUUAAAUUAACUAAACUAAAUAAAAUUAAGUCAAUACAAAAACUUUUGAAUUUAUGGAGUAGGUAAAUGUAAAGGAAUGAUAAAUAUGACUUAUUAAUUUUAAAGUUAAUUUAUUUUUUUUAAUUAGUAUCUUGAUAAAAAAUGAUUGAUAAAAAUGUCCUUUCACUUUUUAAGGAAUAAAAAACCAUUCUGUUAUACGUCCAACUUAUAAUGAUGUGAUCUAUAGCAACUGUAUACGUAUUCAUUUUUACUUCUACUUAAAAUUUCAUCAAAUAUUCCAAUCAUGAUAUUAAUGUUCAAAUUAAAUUUCUUUAAUUGGGUGGAACUAAGUACAAUACAUUGGUAAUUUAAGUUAAGGUCAGGGUAGUUAUCAAGUUCAACGGUUUGUGAAAAUAUGAAAAUUGUAAAAAUAAUUUUAAUUUUUAACUAGUGCUCACUUUUGAAUUUUAUCCGUUCAAUAGAUACGUACAUAGCUUACGAUCUCGAUUUAUGCGUCUCGCUUUUUUUACCGUCGUUGGACAAUUUUUUUUAGAAAUACAAAAUAGUAAAAGACGUAAAAAAACAAUAAUGCAAAAAAAAAAAAAUUAUGAACGAAUGCUAGCAUUCAUUGUAUAUGAACUCGAAUCGUUAAACCUAUUUCAUGUUUACACAGCUGUUAUUCGGUAGAAAGAGCAAUAAACAAUAACUACGGUUACGAAAACUGCUGCAGUAACACCAAAAUGAUGGAACACGAAACAAUCGUCAAAGUGCUCAGUUUUAUCGUAUUGUGUUUCGUCGUUUCUUUAAUCGUCUUACCGCGCCUGAACCCUUAUUAGUUGAAAUUUAACGUAGAAAAAACCAGCGUUGUCGAAGACACGAGAUAUUUUUUAAACACAUCUACUAACUAAAGGCUUAUUUUAUUAUGGAGUUGAACGAGACAGAUUUUUUCCGGCAGCAAAGAUCUAAAAGUCCAAGAAAACGAUGGAGAAGUACUUGAUGAUGUGAGCAACGCGACGAAACGCCGCCUGCGAUUUUACUUGCACGCUAAAUCUUUUCGAGUCUAUACACUGCAACAACAAGCAAAUAAAUCGGAACUCACCGCAGGGUGGUGCCGUAACAUUCGGCACAUUAUAUUGUUGAGCUAGAAAUGUAAACAAUAACGAUUAUUGGCGGAAAAAUAAAAACGAUGAGCACUGUGCGGUGCAUAAAACGCA
rnacentral:misc_RNA from 1 species